rfam:Candidate division NC10 bacterium RIFCSPLOWO2_02_FTLL_66_22 rifcsplowo2_02_scaffold_35845, whole genome shotgun sequence.
AAGAGCCCGGUGCGGGAAAUCCGCACGCCGGGUUCCGUGGGGGGGCGCCGGGGUAACCCGGCGCUCUACCCGAC